rnacentral:misc_RNA from 1 species
GAUGAAGAACGCAGCGAAAUGCGAUAAGUAAUGUGAAUUGCAGAAUUCAGUGAAUCAUCGAAUCUUUGAACGCACAUUGCGCCCCCUGGUAUUCCGGGGGGCAUGCCUGUUCGAGCGUCAUUUCACCACUCAAGCCUCGCUUGGUAUUGGGCAACGCGGUCCGCCGCGUGCCUCAAAUCGACCGGCUGGGUCUUCUGUCCCCUAAGCGUUGUGGAAACUUUCGCUAAAGGGUGUUCGGGAGGCUACGCCGUAAAACAUCCCCAUUUCUAAGGUUGACCUCGGAUCAGGUAGGGAUACCCGCUGAACUUAAGCAUAUCAAUAAGCGGAGGA